CGCAGAACAAAAGCACGCACCUCCUCAAACAUCACUCUCUUUUCCUGGCUGGACACAGGUCUAUUGAGAAUCCUCCUUGUCUACCAACGGGACAACAGGCCAUAGAAGCCAUGAUAACCCAUGGCCUCAGGUCCCUUACCCUGACCCACAGCCAGGUGCACCCAUACCCAGGAAAGAACAGUUAAGGCUCCUGUUUUCUAGAAGAAAAGGUGCUUUUGCAGGUUCACAGUGUAAUUAUGAAAUUCCAAACGGUGCGACCCAAAGCCACACCUCCUUAUAAAAUUGAAUCGUACCGGAAAACAAACACACAAGUCAAACAUGGGACACACAGCUCUGUGUCUAACAGAGAAGAUUCACAUCUAGUACAGAAGGGUGUGCGGAGGCCGACUGAGGUCUGAAGCCACAGACCGACUCAUUUAGCUGAGUUGGGUGCUCUGGCAAGGAAGGCCCUCCGUGGGGCUGCUUACUAAAGUGGUUCCAAAUGCCAGGGCCUCUUCCUUUGAGUACAGAAGAGUAAGGUCCGGAAUGGUGCCAUGUGCCACUCUGAAAGGAAAGCGGUAGAGUGAGGAACCCCCCUCCCCACAAAAUCAGGAGUCAGAGCUUUGUUGUUGACAACCAUUACAGAACAAAGUGAGGGGCAGGCCAUCAAGAUUCUGGGGAGGGGAGCAGUCCUAUUUUCCUUAGCAGAUGUAGACACCUGGCCUCGCCUCACCCCACCUGUCCCCAGACCUGCCGGCCUCAGUACAAACACGGCCAACUUUACCAGGGCUCCUGCUGUCUGUGUGCUAAAGGUGGAGAGCCAUUUUAGGCAACAGUCCCAACUACUGGCUCAGCCCAACCACCAAGGCCAGGAGCUUCUGGAGAAAGCAGCCCCUGCCACUUCCCUGGGGACAUCCCCUGCCCUGACCCCAGAGCCUGAGGUCUUAGGGUCUCUCUGCGCUGUGGCUUAUUUUCAUAAAUGGGGCUGCCCCACUGUCAAAACGUGGUACCACACAUAAAAUGGAGAGGGUGUCCUGAAGUGGGAAUCCCGGAGGUAGGGUGGGGAUCAUGAGGCUGGCAGCGAUUCAGGAAGAGGAGCAAAGGAAGGGGUAGGGGGAUGUGUGUGGAGUGUGGAUUCCUGCCUACAUCCCUGGUUUCAAUUUCUACCCUCCUCUGGGAAGUGCUCCCACCCUCCCCACUGCCUAAAUGUACUUCCAGCUGUGGAGUAACAUCGGCCACAGCUGGAAGUUUAUGGUGUCUGGGGUGAAGCUACUGUGCCAAGGGCAUCACACACACUCUGUCAUUUAACCCACAGCAGCUCCAUGGGGUAGACACCAGCUCCAGCCUGGUGAUGGGGAGACUGCAUCCAGAGCAGCCCCACCCAAGGCGACAGAGGGAAAUGUGAAGUUCACAGGAGAGAGACCAAGAAUCAGGCCCCGGAGGUAAAGGCCCAAUGAUGCCAGGCUCUGAGGACAAGUCUUGGUAACAACCCCUGUGCAUUCCCAUCUCCUGACUCAGAUUUUGGGUUGUGUGGCAAAGUCCCGAAAGGGACGGUUUGCGACCAUUUGUUUCAACCCGUUGGCUUUACAGAUCAGCAAACUGAGGUCUGGAGCACACAAACCACCUCCCCAAGGUGUUCAAGUGACACGAGGACAGAGGUAGACCAAUACUCAGGUUCUUGUCCAGAUUUCCACUGUGGUUUUUGGGAGCGGGGGCGGGGGCAGUGGAGUAGGUAGGGCAGUCUAGAAGAAAAUAUAGAAACAACGGAGAGCCAGGAAGUUAGAGUUGUGGGGAUGUUGGAUGAAUAGACUGGUUGCUGGUCUGGCUGUGAGCAUCAGAGGCCCUACUUGGGGAGGCCAGAGAGGGUAGGUUUAGCUGUCACCCAGGGUCCAAUAGGGCUGAGGCCAGGGCUGGGGCAGAGGUAUACCAUCUUUCCAUCCUGAUCAUCCCACUACCACUGAGGUAGGCUUCUUCUCUCUGGGUCCUACUAGGCCACCCAUCUCAGCAUCCUUUGUUCAUGAGCCACUGGCCUCACAACUCCUGUUUUUCAAGGCCCACGUCAGAUCCCAAAUGCCAAGUGUAUAAAUCCCUGGUCUUGGGAGAAAAAGGUAACUGGUGCCAUCAUAACAAUUCAAUCAGGGUCCCUUUAAAGAUAUUUUUGAGAGCUUGUUUCUACCCAGCUGACCAUGACAGCAGGCUGGAAGGGGAAGUACACCGGACUUUAAGCUAGUAAGACCUCCCUUCAAACUUCUGAUGCUAUCCUGCCACAUGUCCCUGGAUAAGUCACUUUACCCCUCCGGGGACUAGUUUCCUGGUCAUCAGUACCAUGGGGAUAAUGCUUCUAGCUCUGGCUUGUAUCAUGGGACUUGGAAAAGGCCUUUGCAGACUGUAAAAUGCUGCACAAGUGGAUCCUUAUCUCCUUUAUUCUAUCAUUUCUACAAGGACCUUGACACAGGGCUACUGAACAAUCGUUACUUCAGAAAAACGUAGCUUCCUCCCCCAACACCAGCCCAUUACCAGGUCCCCUUGUUGAUUUCACGAUGGAGACCCAAGAGGGCGGGACUCAAGUGUGGGACCCAGGCGUGGUGGUAUUGGUUCGGUCUCUGUGAUCCUGGGCCCCUCUUUGGUUCUCUGUUUCCUCACUGCGGAUACGAGGGGCGGACUGGAUGAUCGCUAAAGUCAUUCCUAAUUCUGGACCCAAACAUUUCCAGAUUCAGUCAUGUCCGUUUCAGAUGACAUAGCUGACCAGCAGCGCCUAGCCCAGGCAGGGGUAGCUUUGAAUAUGGGUGGGGUGGUAGGCUGGAGACAAUAAAAGACUGGGCAGACACCAGAGGAGCCCUGGAACUUCCCAACAGACUCUUGCCUGUGCCACAGGGCAGAUUGGGGGGGGGGGGGGGCUGGGUAUGAGGGCCUAUGGGAGUCUGUGGUUCCUUCCCCGCCUGAAAUCCUGAUGCAGCCUAGGCAGAUAGAUGAGGACGAUGCAACAGACUGGUGGGUGAGAUUGUGCUGGGGAGGAGAGAGGAAGAAGACUCCCCAAAGGACAGGGGUGGGGUGGGGCUUAUCCGCCUUCUCACAUUCUUUUCUGGUGCCAGAGGUUGGUGAGAGGAGGAAGUCAAGCCUGGGAGCGAGCUGGCUGGCUGGCUGGCUGCUGGUGGGAACACCAGGAGGAAAGAAUGCCCACUGCUGAGGCAAGAGACUGAUUGGUGUGCCUCACACACAAAGCAGGUGGUCCAUAGAGCUUUGUUCGAGUGGAACCGAAUGUUCUUCUCGCUCAUUCUCUCCAGACUACGGGUGAGGAAAACGGGAGUCACAGAGAGACAAACGAGCAAGCCACAUGCCAGGAGCAGACUCAGGAAACCUGUCUCUGAGCGCAGUGGAGGCCAAGAGCAAAACCCUAUCUCUCUGAGAUGAGGCGACAUCAGAAGAAAAGUGGAUCCCAUGGCUGCUGUGUCACUAGCCUGUGACUUUGGGUGAAUCACGUCAGCACUCUGGGCCUGUGUUUUGUCAUCAUUCAAAUAGGGCAGUCCUCACAUGUCUCUGAGAGAGAGAAAGGGAGUCUACAGGGAGCAGGAUGCAGGACCCCAAAUUCAUGACCUGAAUCCAAGGGCAGAUGCUUAACCGACUGAGCCACUCAGGGGCUCCUGUUUUUGUUCAUUUUUAAAGAUUAUAUCUUAUUUUUUUAAAGGUUUUAUUUAUUUAUUCAUGAGACAGAGGGAUAGGCAGAGGGAGAAGCAGGCUCCAUGCAGGGAGCCGGAUGCGGGACUCGACCCUGGGUCCCCAGGAUCGCGCCCUGGGCCAAAGGCAGGCGCCAAACUGCUACGCCACCCAGGGAUCCCCUAAAGAUUUUAUUUUUAAGCAACCUCCACAUCUAGCAUAGGGCUCAACACACCACGCAGAGAUCAAGAGUCACAUGUUCUACGGCCUGAGCCCUCCGUGCGCCCCCUAGGUGCAAGUCUUCGGAAGUACAAAACACCUUGCUCACUUCCUGCUCCCAGUGCAGACGCUCAGAGCUGCAGGUCCUGCUCUGCAGGUGCAGGUGCAGGUGCAGGUGCAGGUGCAGGUGCAGCGUCAGCAAAAGUGCCACAUGCUUUGGGGCUAACGGAGCGCCUCCCUCCACACGAUUUCCUGCGCUUCUCCCAGGCUCGGAAACAUUCCUGGCAGGUGGUAUUUCUUCCAGCGACAGAGAAGAAGCCAAGGCACUGAGAAGUGAGGUGACUCGCUGAAGGCCCUCCAGCUAAUCUGAGAUGAGGGUGAAUUCACAUCCAGCUCUUGCGACUUCCAGUUCAGGCCCUGCACAGGGCUCUGCGCCACCUGUCGGGAAAGCCAGUGCCCCUGGGCACUUGCUCGGCCGGUGCUCCAUAAAUGCUCAGAGGAAGGGCCCGCGCUGCUCUGGCCACGGUCAUGAGCUGAGCAUGUGAGACUGGAUUUACAUAGUUGAUCUGAGAGCCAAGGCCCUGGCUUGCCACACUGUGGUCCCAACGUUGGAAGGAACAUGAGAAAAUAAAAGGAUGCUUUGGACAGAA